rfam:Triticum urartu cultivar G1812 contig1041387, whole genome shotgun sequence.
AAUGUACUCCCUCCGUUCUGAAUUACUUGUCUUGGAUUUGUUUAGAUACGGAGGUAUCUAGCAUUAAAAUGAGCCUAGAUACAUCCGUAUCUAGACAAAUCCAAGGCAAGUAAUUCGGAACGGAGGGAGUACAAU